CGGGAAACUGAGAACAACACGAUAUAGUCCACUACGCCUGGAACGGUGAGUGGAUAAAGAUAGGAUGGGCCUGCGGCGUAUCAGGUCGUAGGGGGUGUAAAGGACCUCCUAGCCAUCGACGCGUACGGGUGUUGGGAGACAUAGCCCGGAGAUGGAUUCUGAGACACGAAUCCAGGCCCUACGGGGCGCAGCAGUUACGAAAACUUGGCAAUGCGGGAAACCGUGAUCAGGGAACUCCAAGUGGCUGUCCUUUUGGGCAGUCUUUUCUUGACUCUAAAACGGUCUUGGAAUAAGGGGUGGGUAAGGACGGUGCCAGCCGCCGCGGUAAUACCGGCGCCUCAAGUGGUCGUCGCUUUUAUUGGGCCUAAAACGUCCGUAGCCGGUUUGGUACAUUCGUGGGUAAAUCAGCUCGCUCAACGAGCUGAAUUCUGCGAGCACGGCCAGACUAUGGACCGGGAGAGGUGUG
rnacentral:rRNA from 1 species